UAUCAAAAGUCCUUCCCGCAUCCCUGGUC
rnacentral:piRNA from 1 species